AUAUAGUAAGGGAAAACAUAUGAUAUUACUUUACUUAUAGUGUUGUCUAAUUCUGGUGCCAGAAGACUCGGUAAUACCAGUAACGCGAACGUUAGUCAUCUUUAUCAGGCGUAAAGGGUUUGUAGGCAGCUUUUAAAAAAAAGUCUAAACUAUAUUGUCCUUUUUUAAAAAAAAAAGAAUUAAUAGUUAAGUCUCUAAUUUGAGAGCUAGAAUCAAAUAGAAGUUAAAAAGUAUAAUACUUAGAGAAGGGUUGAUAUUCUUAGAACCUAAGGGGAAUACUAAAGGUGUAAACAACUAACUAUAAAUGAUUGACGCUGAGACACGAAGGUGAGGAUAGGAAAUAGGAUUAGAUACCCCGGUACCCCUCUCUGUAAACGAUGAAUGGUAGUUAUUAGUGUAUUACUGGUAACGAUGCUAACGCGUUAACCAUUCCGCCUUGGGAGUACGAUUGCAAAGUUGAAAACAAAAAAAUUAGUCGGUCUCGGAGCAAACGGAGUGAAG
rnacentral:rRNA from 1 species